CUUUGGGAAGAAUUGUUCCUCGCGUCGCCGCCGUCGGAUUGAUCCGAUUUGCGCGCGAUUUGGUGAGUAAUCUCACUAAUCCCAUAUUAGUUGGCUAAUUAUGCUUAAGCUUGGUUUAGUUUUAAUUAAUUACGUUUAGGUUGUUAGAUUAGAAUAUAUUAGCAAAUAUUAGUUAAUUGUGAUGCGAUUUAGAUAAAUUGAUUGUGCAAUUAACAAGUAGACGUGGUCUACUAUUUAUUGGAAGCAUCUCGGGAAUUUUCUGACCCCUAAUCGGGCUUCAAUUUGGCGAUUCGGACCUAAGUGGGAUUUUUUUUAGUAUUUAAAUAUUAAUUUUUGGAAUUAAAUUAAAUAAUUAUUUAUUUUCCGAAAAUUCAAGGGAGAUGGUCCGGAACCGGAAUAUUAUGCUGAUGACCGUGGUGAAGUCCGUUUAUUUAAUCAGACUUUAUUUUAAGCUAAAUUGAAUUUUUAAUAUUAAUUCAUUUUCGAAAUUAAUUAAAUAAUUAUUUAUUUUACAAAAAUUCAAUUGGGAUGGCUAGUGACCAGAAAUUUAUGCUGAUGACCGUGGUGAAGUUCGUUUAUUCAAUUGGGCCCUAUUUUGAGCUAAACGGAAUUUUUAAUAUUUAAUAAUUAAUUUUCGAAAUUAUUUAUUUAUUUAUUUACUUUUCAAAAAUUAAGAUUGAGAUGGCCGAUGACCUAAAUCUCGUGCUGAUCGUCGUGACACAGUCCGUUUAUUUAAUUGAGCUUUAAUUUGUGCUGAAUUGAUUUAAUUGUGGAUAUUUAGGAUAUGUUCCUAAAUUGAUUAUUUGAGUAGAUUGAGUACAAAUUAAGGUUGUUGAUAAUUACUUUAGAAAUGGGAUGAAUCAUCAUGAAAGGCACGGGCCUUGAUGAUUAGAUAUAUCACCUCGGAGAAUGCACAUGGCUCGGUGACGAAGUAUGUCGCCUUAGAGAAUGCAUGUGGCUCGGUGAUUAAGUGUGGCAUCUAAAAGGACACGUGGGCUCGGUAAUUUGAUGCAUUACCUCGGAGAAUGCACGUGGUCCCAAUGAGUACACUUGGCAUCUUGAAGAGACACGUGGGCUCGGUGACUUGAUGCAUCGCCUCGGAGAAUGCACAUGGGCUCUCUGAUUCAAAAUGACAUUUUAAAGAGAAAGUGGUCGAGUGGGACCGUAAAGGCAUUGAAUUUUGAAAGUGGUCGAGUGGGACCGUAAAGCCAUUGAGUAUCGAAAGUGGUCGAGUGGGACCGUAAAGCCAUUGAAUUUUGAAAGUGGUCGAGUGGGACCGUAAAGCCAUUGAGUAUCGAAAGUGGUCGAGUGGGAUCGUAAAGCCAUUGAGUAUCGAAAGUGGUCAAUUGGGAUCGUAAAGCCAUUAAAUAUUGAAUGUUGUUGAGUGGUGGGCUGUGUCUUCCACCUUUGCUUAAGAUGUGAUAUGAGGAUCGUAGUUCGUAAUUGAUGAUUGAGAUGGAAUAAUCGAAUUGACCUAGAAUGGUCCAUCUGGCAUGUAAUCGACUAGGUCGAUUGAUUAUUGAUUUGAUUUGAUGUCGUGGAUUGAUUGACUGAUUAGAAAUGACCAUGAGUGGUCUUGUUGGCUUGUAAUCGACUAGGUCGAUUUGAUCGAUGCUUCGAUCGGUGAUAUGAUUGUUUGAGUGCCUAUUAUGAAUUGUACUGACUUGCAGGUGGGAUCUGAUGCUAAGGUACGUCCUCUGCCCUGUGCAUGUUUAGGCAGCCUAUAGUAUAAUAGUUUACUAAUUGGGCUUAGUGGGGUAGAACUCGUUGAGACGUAGUCUCAUCCCAGUUUGGGGAAAAACAUUUCAGGACUCGAUGAGGAGCUGAUGAGGAGGAUUUUGAGAAGGAGAACUCGGAGGUGAAACUUGAGUAGAAGGAUUUUUUUUGAAGAAGAAGAUAAUCCCGAGAGGGGCCUUGAGUAUGGUCUGGAUGGGCUGAGAGUCUAUUUUCUUUUGAGAAUUUCUUUUGAAGUGAAUAGUUAUGAAUUGGUUUGUGUUUUUUAUAAAAGUUUGGUUAUAAAUUUCAAUAUGAAAAAUAUGGCCCUGCUUUUCUAUCCCAUCGUUUUAUUGUCUGGGGAUCUUAACUGCUUUCGCAUGUGCUUAAUAAACGAAAGGGUCGGCGAUACUUUGUCCUGGGAUAUCGCAUUAUAAAAUCGAUCAAGUGAGAAGGAUGUGUGCGUGCCCGAGGAUCGGGGCGUGACAAUUAAUCUAGAUAGUCAUCCCUUCCUCCUUAAUAUCUACAUGAUUUGGACAUUAGAGCAUGUACAAGGUGGAUAUGGCUUCAUAGUUCUACUAUGAAUAGGGCACUUGUUCUUUUCUUUUUCUCCUUGUCUUGUCUGGUGAGUAUUAGAUUUUUUACUACGACGAGACAUGCUUCUCUCCCCAUGAUGUGCACUUUGUAAUUUUCAGCACAUUGCUAUUAUUUGCUUCGUCCUCAAUUAAAUCAGUUUUUAAGGAGUCGCUCUUACACGUUCAUGUACGCAACUGGCUAAUGCAUGAGUGGCAUUCUCUGCAGGUUGUCUUAGUUUCAGCAACCUUCCCCACUGAGAUAUUAGAGAUGACAGGAAGAUUCAUGACCGAUCCCAUAAGGAUUGUUGUGAAGCGUGAUGAGUUGAUGCUGGAGGUGAGCUACAUUGGGUUAGUUGCAUUUGAUGGCGACUAGGGAUCAUGAGAUUCUUCUGACACAAUCCUUCCUUUACUUCGUAUGGUUGCGCGUCGACCAGUACAUGGUGCCAGUGGAAAGAGAAGACUGGAAAUUUGACACUCUGUGUGAUAUAUACGACAACUGCCCCAUACGCCAAGGAGUUGUAUUCUGCAACACUAAGCGGAAGGUACGACCCCAACCACGUUGGGUUCCACACUUGAGGUGGAACAUAAACAUCUCGAUGACUUAGAGAUUCUGAAGACCUCUACUGCUCUAUUUCUCUUUGAUCUAUAUUUUGUGCUAUGGCUCUUCAUGUCCUCCUUAUAUUUGUCGAGCAGGUGGAGUGGCUUGCUGAAAAGAUGCGUGAUUCUAACUUCACUGUGUCUUUCAUGCACAGGGAAAUGCCUCAAAAGGAGAGAGAUGCAGUAAUGGCUGGAUUUCGAUCUGGGGCGACUCGGUUGAUGAUCACCGCCGAUGUAUGGGCUCGAGGGAUUGAUGUUGAGCAGGUUAGUCCUGAAAAUUAACAUCGCAAUAAUGCAGAUGAUGACAUUCUACCGUUUUUGUCUGCCGUGUUCGUAUGUCGGAUGCUUGCUUUUACGGAAGGCCAAAUUUCUUCUUUCCUUGUUGCACCACGACCAUUUAGUUGUGCAAGUGGACCGACUGAAUCAUUCUCAAUACACUCUGGAGGUUUGUCUCGUUGUCAACUAUGAUCUUCCCAACAGCAGAGAGCUGUACGUCCAUCAGGCCGGUCAAGUAGGCCAUUUUGGGCGGAAGGUAACUAUUAUGAACCUUGAAGUGGACGCAACGGCAAUCCUAUUUUCAGUUUUUUGUUCUUGCCGUGGGAAUAACGACAAAUCUCAUCGACAUUGCAAUUUACGAACGCCAAUCCGUGUCUGCUUUUGCAGGGUGUUGUGGUAAAUUUUGUCAAAGACAAGGAGAUCCAGAUUCUUAGAGACAGAGCAGUAUUAUGGCACCCACAUAUGCGAAUGUCCGGAGGACCCUGCCAAUAUAAUAUGACAAGAUAACAAUGGGUACACUUAGAAAGGCCGCGAGAGGUCCGGUUCUUAAUCUAUAGCUUUUACUCCCGACCCAUAUAUUAUCGCAUUGUUUGAUCUUUCGAAAACUUGGAAGCAAUUGGGUUGUGUUUGGAAUGUUUAAUUCGUGUUAGUCCUUUGAGUUCCGAUCCUUGAACACGGGCUCCUACACACAUUUUGUCCACCUUCGUAUUGAUAUUUAAGUUCCCUUAAGAUGAAGUGGUGCUCGACAAUCUCCCAAAAAACCAGACAUCAUCAAUUUCCUCACCCUUUCCCAAAUAAAUAAGUCCAAGGCGUUGACUUCUGGGUGUUCACUAACCUUCAAUUUUCACCGAGGCGCCUAAAACUCUUCGCUAAACUCGUACCAAAAAUAUCACAUCUUUCACCCCCACUUAACGUGAAAACCUUACGCUCCAAAGUUUCAAUCCAAAGUUGGAGUUUAUGGUUAAUAAAAAGUAAUCUUCUUGGUGCUUUUUGAUCUCCAUUUUUCACCAAGGUAUCAUCGGGACUUCUGCUAUUGCUAAGCCGGCGCCAACUCUAUCAUCUUUAAGCUACUCAACAGAAAACCCUUGAGAUUCUAAAAGUUUUUAGCGAAAGUUAGAUAUGUCUUUGACCCACUCAACACCGUGAAUGUCAUGAGAGAUUUUUGUUGCCUAGUCAAGCCGUGACGAAGUUUCUCACUUUAUGCCCUUGUCUAAGCCCAUAUGCUGGGCCCCUAAUCGGGUUUAAUACCCUUACGUGAUUUGGAGAUGCAAACACUUGUGCGCGUUGUUACUUGAGCCCAUCACCAUAGAAUUUUCGUAAUUUUUAAGUUGAAAUCUGAGAUAGGAAAAGAGUUAACCUUGUGUUGGGGGAUAAGUACAGCAAGAGCUCACUGGAGUGUUACUAGUUUCUUCUUGCUCACUUAAGUGCAAAAAUUUUGAAAAAUCGAUCACUUAAGUACCAUCAACGAUUUGUUUCGUUGGAAUAUUCAACGUAGACGCCGGUCAUCCUACGAGACAUUACUGUCAUGAUGUUACCUUGAGUACACCAACUAUGGUUCGACUAAUGAUUUAUUAAGUCUAUACUUAACUCAAGUUCUUCCAAACCCUUGUCAAUUUAUGACUUAAGAGUUCAAGCUAUUAACAUGCAAAUGUUUUUUUUUAUAUAGAAGUCGCCACUAAUCUAUUUAUGAUGGGUCGAUUUGAUAUCAAAGUAAAGUAUUGUGAGAAAAACCUUACUACUACAAACUAAAGAUUGAAUAAAUUUAGGGACUUGAUUACGCUUGAUUACUCUAAUGCUCUUUCGAUACGUUUUCUCAUAUAUUUUUAAAAAUAUUUUGCAGCAGUCUAACUUGAUUUUAACUCUAUCAUUUAACAUGUAAGAUAAUCAUGCGGGUGCACAACUAUUAUUAAACACUAAAUAAAGCAUGGCAACCAAUAAAUUGCAAAUGUAGGGAGUAAAUACUUACCUUGAUGCAACGCAAGCAUUUGCAACAAAUAUUAAUUAGAAACACAUGUUCAGCUUAUAUAUCACUUCUAAUUAUCAUGCAAUUCACUCGACUUUUUUCUUUUAAUAGGAUUUUCGCUUAUUUAAAUGAAGGCUAAGCUACAUGAUGUACAAAAAUAGUUUAUAUUAACAUGACAUGUGACUUUCAAUUAACAUGCAAACUAUAUGACACUCGAUUUUAAUUUAAUGACCUAAUUCUAAUGACGGAUAAUGAUUAAUACGUAACCAUUAUACAUGACAUGCACAUGAUAUUCACUUAAUUAAAUGAAAGGUAAACUAUGUGCAAUGCAUGCAAUGUCGUACAAAAAUAGUUUAUAUAACAUACACAAGACUUUAAAAAAAUAAUAAUAAUCCUAACACACAAACUAUACACACAAUUUAAAUUUAAUGACCUAACUCUAUUGACGGGCAAUGAUUUAUAUGUGACUACUCUACAUGACAUGCAUGUGAUUUUUUUUAAUAUUAAAAUACGUAACAAAAAAUGAGGGAAAUUAACUAUUUGGAAGAAAGAUAAUAUCUAGUUCAAUUUAAGUAUUAAAUUGUGUCAAUUCCUAAUUUGAAUUAGAAUCUUAUCAUGAAUAUUAUAGAAUCUACUUAGACAUGCAAUGUUAUCGAAUAGAGCUAAUUAAUCUACAAGCAAUCUUUUUUUCUUUUUUAAUUUUCAAAUAAGGACAACCAAAACAAUCACACAAAUUACAAAAUAUCAACGAAUUGCCAAAGAUAUCAUCCAUAACUCAAAUUAGAGAAUGAUAUCUAAUUAACUUGAUUAUUCUGCUAAUAAAAUCAAUAAAUUGAUAUUAAAUCUUUGGUCCAUGCCGAGGGACAAAUGUGGCUGCUCAAUAUGCCUUUGUCUUGGAACUAGUGAGCAAGAAUCAUCAAGGCAUGGAUGCGGGGAUCCCACUGAAGAUGCAGGUGUCAUUGAAGAAACAGGCAGAUCAUCUUUGUCAGAUGAUGGUGUAGGUGAUUCAAUUUCUUGAUUGAAAGAAUUUGAAUCGGUUGGAAUAUAUGAUAUAGGGUUUGCUAAAAUGAAAACAUAUUAAGGACUCACAGAUUAAUCCUCUUCCAAUAAGAAUUGACUGUUGUUUGAUUUUGGCAUAGGCGAUUUAGAUGAAGGUGUCAUUUCCUAGAAUGAAAAUAUAUUAAGAACUCAUAGAUUAAUCCUCUUCACAUUGUGGACAGGGAUAACAAUUGCGGUACAUAGAAUUAAGUUCAUGAGUUGUCAGCAAAAAAAAAUUAAAUCGACGAGUCUCUAGUGCUUGUGGGUAUGACUUGAAGGAGUCUUGCAAAGGCAAAUGACUUCCGUUCUUGGCCAUACAAAAGAAAACGAGUGGGAUCAAGAAGUGGUUAGAAAAAUGGAAAAUCAAAUCAAAUAGAAAAACCUCUGUUGAAGGACCCAUCCUCAUUUAUAAAUCUCGCACGUAUUAAAUCAACGCUCUUAUCAAGUUUCCACGUUAACUUUCACAAAACUACGUACUUCUAAUCCAAGGCAUUCUUGUUCAAUGCGGACAUAUAUGGGCUUUUGACCUUUCCGUGAGCACUAGAAUAACUCAUCCUUAUUUAUACAUCUUGGAUUUAUUACCUGUGUUGAUAAAAGACGGGAAUCUGCACGUCUAUGGGCACGUGCAUGUGAAUGUUAUCUACUUUUAUAUGCCUAGUCACCGGCUGACGAGAGAAACAGAUGUUAUCUUAGUUGAAUAUUCGUGCAUAAACCAAAUUCCUUUCAUCCGGACCUAGUAGCUGAAUUCGACUAACUUAUCAAAGUUACUGAAAUGAAUACCCUGCUCGGCUUGGAAAUAUUUUGCCAGCGAAAAAGAAGAAUGACUAAUGUUAGAGUGUUUUGUUAACUUUAUAGACUUAAACAAUGCCAGUCCAAAAGACACAUUCCUUUUGCCUAUCGCCGAGCUACGGAUAGAAUGGAUAUUCCAGCAGCAAUCAAUGCAAGAAUGGAUCCAAAUGGUGGCGAGGAAACGACGGCCUUUAUAAUUCCCAGGGGAAUAUUCCGAUACAAAGUUAUACAUUUUAGGUUCAAAGAAAGCGGGCGCAACGGUCAUGACUUUCCUUCCUAGGGACUUGCUACACUAUAUCAUCUAAUGUUAUGUGGACGAUUUGGCGGUCAAGACUAAAGAUGGGGGCGAUCACCUAAAUGAUCUCUAGCAAAAGAUAUCGGAGCUUGUGGACCAAUGCCGUCUCGACAAUUAAUUAUGUGAGUUCCAUGUUGGAUGAAUUAAUUAUUAGAUCAUACAAUAAUUUUUUCCCACCACACCAGCAAAGACAAUUUUUCACGCGGAAACUGUAUUUUGACUUUCGAGGCAAUAGAGAAUACGUAAUUAUAUAAUUGCAUAUACUUGAAGUUCGUAUGUAUACAUUUAUUUUCUAUGACAUACUCAGGUAUUAUUAUGCUUUUCUUUGGGGAAGAUUGAAGGAUAUGUUAUCUCCAAUAGGUGUGUAUCAUCAAAGAUCUCAAGUGCACAAAUUUAUAAAAGCAGAUGUUGGAUGAAUCUAAGAAUUAAUGGACUUCUUCACGAAUUUUACUCUCCUAGCUUUUCUCUUCAGUAUUUUUUUUUCCUGCUUGCGCAUGCCCAUUUCUCUUCCUCAUUUACUCGCACCUAUUCACCAGCAUCAUACUCAUUGCAACUAAAUGACUGGCAAAUAUGAAAAUAAUCUGACACAUAAGAAUUAUAUAGAAUCAUAUAUAAAAAGAAAUGGAUGAAAGAUAUUUCCAAUCGUAUGACAGCCCCAUACACUUUAAACCUACGAGUUUAAAAGCUGUGAGCAUUGUAAACAAAGAAACUCCAAACACAUUCAAUGUUGGAUCCAAGAAACACUUCUAUAUAUCUCUAUUUCUUAUUCUCCGGACAACCAGGAAACAAGAAAACACUAUUAUCAAUCUUGAAGUUCAAGAACCAUAUCCAAGAAAACAAUUAUUCUCCCAACUACAUAAGUAUACCAUUCUUACCCCCACUAUGCUUCUCUUAACCUUCGGAUGCCCAUAAAAGCAAACGUAUACUCCAUUUUAGAGGAGAAGAUCGUUACGCCAUUAGGCUUCAAUGAAUUCUACGAGGAGCGCAGCACGCUCCUCUUCAGCCCGGGUGAUCUCUUCUCGAAUUUCCUGCACUCUGGCUCGCGUCGCUGCAAUGCGGGCUUCCGGGUGAUUGAUAUUCACGGCCCGCCUAGCACGCAUUAACAAGGCAUUCACUUUAAGGUCGAGCUCCCAUCUGAGACGCCUUAACCUCCUCUCCACCUCCUCAAGCUCGUCUAAAACAACUUGGUCAGUCCUUGGCAUUUUCUCUCCCUCUCUCAGUCUCUCUUAGUGUUUUCCUGGUUCAAGAUAAGAAGGCAGAAGCAAGAAUCAGCUUGAGAUGGUUAACAGGAACUUUCCCCUCAGACUUCAAGAAUGGACCUUAUUUAUACCCGCGGUCACGUCAAUGAUUACGGGAAACUUCAAAACCAAUAAAAGAAGAAAACAUUAUUCCGCUAGAAAUAUUACGUAAUAUUUGUUGCAUAGUUGACCGACUACAUAUUAUAGCCAACUAGAAAAAGGAAACCAUUAUUCCACUCGAAAUUUCGUGAAUGGACCUUAUUUAGAGAGAGCUGUGAUGAGCACUACAAUUAGAUGGACAUAAGUCGUGUGGGAGACGUUCAAUGGGGAAGAUGCGCGUUCCCUGUUCGAAGAAUGCUCCACUCACCAUUUUCAGACUGCUGUAAUUUUAGAGCGGGCCUUCUUAUUCCGGAGUAGAUGUUGAAAAUUAAGAGAGAAACCGACCAACUUCAGAAGUCGCAUUUUUUGGGUCUUUUGUAUGCUGGAUUGGGGUUUCUGAGAGUGGAUUCAUGUGAUUUUCUUUUUUCUUUGGUGGAAUGGAUUCUUGUGAUUGAGGAGCAAUGUUCUGGAGAGAGGAACAGAGAAUUAGCUGAUAAAACCCUCAAGAAAUUAUAUUCAUUUGUCUUUUUCGAGCUGCAACCCUCAUGUAGAAUUUUUCUCGACUAUGGUUCAUGUCAUGUUCGCUUCGGACCUUCCGAAUGUCCCAAUCCCAUGUUAAAGCUGAAAUUUGGUCAACGUGGGAAGUUGAGAGGUUAUAUUCAUUUGCCUUUUUCUGAGAUGCAACCUUCUUGUUUGAUUUUUGCCGAUUAUGGUUCAUGUCAUGUUGGCUUUGGACCUCCAAAAGGAUAAAUUUUUAGGUUACACGUCAAGUAUGCUAUUAAGGUCAGGAUGUGGUUAGAAAAAAGAAAAAUCAAAUCAAAUCAAAUCAAAAAAACCCGCGUUGAAGAACCCAUCCCUAUAUAUACAUCUUGCAUUUAUUAAAUCAACUGUCUUAAUAAGUUUCCGCGUGAAAGUUCAUCCCCAUCUAUACACCUUGCAUUUAUUAAAUCAACUCUCUUACUAAGUUUCCAUGUGAAAGUUCAUCCCCAUUUAUACACCUUGCAUUUAUUAAAUCAACUCUCUCACUAUGUCAUCAUAUUAACUUUGACAACACUAUCAAGGACAAACGUUUCAAAUAUGAUCAGUGGCAUCUUCUCCCCGGUUGCUUUUUGGGUUGAGGGUUGCUUAAAUAAGGAGCAUCAGACGUUCAUCGAGAGCCCCGCAUAGCUCAAUGUAGAAAGUGUGAUGCCAGAUCUUUUCCAUAUCGUCCCAAUUGCUGGCAAUUCCACUCUCCAUAGGGUACUUCAAAGUAAGCAUGCCCCUUUUAGAUUGGGCCUCAUCUCCAACAUAAGUAACCCUAUGGCCCAUACUAACCAUGUCAACAGGGUGCCUCGAUCGACAAACCAUACUGGGGAAGACAACCCUUGGAGCAUCAUCUCCAGCAAAAACAGCCUGUCAAAUUCAGGCUAUUACGUGAGCACAGAUACCACCAUGCACUCUAGGAAAGCCCAUAGCAAUGGACCGGUGCAUCAAUAUUCCCACCUUAACCAUGUCAAAUCCAUUAUCAACACCAAGAGGCUGAACGUCUUCGGCAUCUGCCAUCUCCUUAUGCUAAUCAAAGGAAAAGCUCUACAUGAUUAAUACAGGUAAAUAUCAAUGUCCAAGUAAGAUCCACGUAGGUAAGUUCUAAUGGAUCCACGAUAACGUUUUAUCAUAUAAUUAUCCUAGGGAUAAUAUAUAGCUGUAUAAUGAACUGCACUGAUCCAACGAAGCUAAUUGAAUAGAGCUUUUGUGCAGAUAACAAGAACAAAGAUACCUCUAGUAGCUUUUUAAUUUCAAAAAAAAAUUAAAGCCUUAAGGAUAUAUUUUCAAUUACGCAGGCUCUAUCCCUCACUGUCCAACAGAAAAACAAUGAAAUACUAAAUCCAAAUAACACGCUGACCAGGAAAAAAAAUCAAGAAUUUUUGAAGAAAUCCUUUAACUACCAUAACAGUACAGGAGAAAGGAUAAUAGAGAGUGACAGGAAUCUUAAAAAUAUUCUUGAAUUACGGUCGUCGAGUUCAACAAUCAUGCUUUAAUUGUUGAUCACGCCUUAACUCGAAACACCAUAGCAGCUCGCACACCAACUAUGCAUCUAUCCAUGAAAGGAAUCUCCUCUCGAUGCCAUGAAACAAAUUAAGCUAAAUCAUCCCAAUUUCCACUCUUGGUCACGCACAAUCCGUUGAUUCUGGGAAAGCUCCACAUGCUUUCAACAAUCGGCAAGCCUUCACCCAGUCCGAUUCGGUAAAAUUCAAUGGCAAAUCGCCUAAAUCAGCUCCUAAGCCUCCAAAAUUCGACUAGUAACAUGGCCGCGAAUUGGUCAAAACAAACGAAGGAAUGAAAUCCAACUUCAAAUUACAUUAAAAAAAAAAAAUAUGGUCGCAUUCCAUUCAAUUUACCAUUUCAUUCUCCGAUUCAGAAUCGAGUGACAAAAUCCAAAACAGAAGCAGAGAGACAAGCUUUAGUUCGGAGUUCAGAGACGCCCAACAACAUAAUCGUUUUAGUGUCAUCCACGGUAAGAAAGGUUCUAGAGUCUUACGUGUUAUAUUAUUUAAUAUUCAUGAUAGUAUACCAUUUAUUCGUGUGUUAUCUUAGGUUUUCAAUUUAUUAGGCAAAAGAACGCUUCAAGUGCCAUAACUUUGCACAAAUGGACACUUAAGUGUCAUAACUUACGAAAGCUACACUUAAGUGCCACAUUCGAAGAAAAACGGAUCAUUUGAGUGCCACUCCAGCCAAAGUCCAGCCAAAACUUGACGUGGCAUUUUUCUGGCAAAGAGCGCCCAAAACACACCGUUUUGCACGCUGACGUGGCCAAAUAAUACAAAAUGACGACUUUUUGGGCUGAUGUGGUAAAAAAUUAAUAAAAAUUAAUUAAAUUUAAAUUAAAUUUAAAUUUUGUUAAAAUUUUAAAAAAUAAUAAUUUAAAAUUUUUAAAAAAUUUAAAAAAAGAAAGUAAAGGGUGGUGGCAGCUAAGCGAUCAGCCCUCAGCCACCGGCAUCGCCGGGCCGACGACAGCGGGGAGAUGUUCAGCGAUCACCCACGGUCCUCGCCUAAAUUCGGCGAGGGUCAGCAGCCCUUGGCCCGGUUGAGCGAGGGCCAUCGACCCUCGCCCUAAUCUGGGCAAGGGUUGUGACCCUUGCCCCGAUAUAGGGCGAGGGCUCGCAAGCCCUCGCUGCCGGUCGGCCAGGGCCGAUAGCCCCUGGCCAGGGCCCAGCGACCUCGAUCGACCCUCCCCGCUGUCACCGGCCCUUCCCGGCGGCGGCGGCUAAGGGUUGAUCCUUCAAUCGCCUCCCCCCCUUUCUUUUUUUAAAAAAUUUUUAAAAUUUUAAAUUAUUGGUUUAAUAUUUUAACUAAAUUUAAUUUAAAAUUAUUAUUUUUAAAUAUUUUAACUAAAUUUAAUUUAAAAUUAUUAUUUUUAAAUAUUUUAACUAAAUUUAUUUUUAAAUUAAUUUUUAUUACUUUUUUAUCACGUCAGCCCAAAACAACGCCGUUUUUGCAUUAUUUGGCCACGUCAGCAUGCAAAACAGCGUCAUUUUGGGCUCGAUUUGCCACAAAAAAUGCCACGCCGGCGUUUCGGCCGAACUUUGGCGGGAUUGGCACUCAAGUGAUCCAUUUUACUCCGAUUUUGGCACUUAAGUGUACUUUUCAUAAGUUAUGGCACUUAAGAGUCACUUUGUGCAAAGUUAUGGCACUCCUGGGGUCUGCACGUCCAAUUUAUUACAAAAUAAAGUAUUGUGAGAAAUACCUUACUACUACAAACUAAAGAUUGAAUAAAUCUAGGGACUUGAUUACGCUUGAUUACUCUAAUGCUCUUUCAAUACAUUUUCUCAUAUAUUUUUAAAAAUAUUUUGCAAUAGUCUGAGUUGAUUUUAAUUCUAUCAUUUAACAUGUAAGGUAAUCAUGCAGGUGCGCAACUAUUAUUAAACAUCAAAAAAAAAAAGCAUGGCAACCAAUAAAUUGCAAAUGUAGGGAGUAAAUACUUACCUUGAUGUAACGCAAGCAUUUGCAACAAAUACUAAUUAGAAACACCUGUUCAACUUAAAUAUGACUUCUAAUUAUCACGCAAUUCACUCAACUUUUUUUUUAUUAUUAUAGGAUUUUAGCUUAUUUAAAUGAAGGCUGAGCUACACAAUGUACAAAAAUAGUUUAUAUUAACAUGACAUGUGACUUUCAAUUAACAUGCAAACUAUAUGACACUUAAUUUUAAUUUAAUGACCUAAUUUAAAUGACGGACAAUGAUUAAUACGUAACUAUUAUACAUGACAUGCACAUGAUAUUCACUUAAUUAAAUGAAAGGUAAACUACGUGCAAUGCAUGCAAUGACGUGCAAAAAUAGUUUAUAUAACAUACACGUCAAGUAUGCUAUUAAGGUCAGGAUGUGGUUAUAUUCAUUUGCCUUUUUCUCAGAUGCAACCUUCUUGUUUGAUUUUUGCCGAUUAUGGUUCAUGUCAUGUUGGCUUUGGACCUCCAAAAGGAUAAAUCUUUAGGUUAAACGUCAAGUAUGCUAUUAAGGUCAGGAUGUGGUUAGAAAAAAGAAAAAUCAAAUCAAAUCUAAUCAAAUCAAAUCAAAUCAAAAAAAUCCGCGUUGAAGAACCCAUCCCUAUAUAUACAUCUUGCAUUUAUUAAAUCAACUGUCUUAAUAAGUUUCCGCGUGAAAGUUCAUCCCCAUCUAUACACCUUGCAUUUAUUAAAUCAACUCUCUUACUAAGUUUCCAUGUGAAAGUUCAUCCCCAUUUAUACACCUUGCAUUUAUUAAAUCAACUCUCUCACUAUGUCAUCAUAUUAACUUUGACAACACUAUCAAGGACAAACGUUUCAAAUAUGAUCAGUGGCAUCUUCUCCCCGGUUGCUUUUUGGGUUGAGGGUUGCUUAAAUAAGGAGCAUCGGACGUUCAUCGAGAGCCCCGCGUAGCUCAAUGUAGAAAGUGUGAUGCCAGAUCUUUUCCAUAUCGUCCCAAUUGCUGGCAAUUCCACUCGCCAUAGGGUACUUCAAAGUAAGCAUGCCCCUUUUAGAUUGGGCCUCAUCUCCAACAUAAGCAACCCUUGGGCCCAUACUAACCAUGUCUGGGGAAGACAACCCUUGGAGCAUCAUCUCCAGCAAAACCAUCUUGUCACAUUCAGGUUAUUACGUGAGCACAGAUACCACCAUGCACUCCAGGAAAGCCCAUAGCAAUGGACCGGUGCAUCAAUAUUCUCACCUUAACCAUGCCAAAUCCAUUAUCAACACCAAGAGGCUGAAUGUCUUCGGCAUCUGCCAUCUCCUUAUGCUAAUCAAAGGAAAAACUCUACAUGAUUAAUACAGGUAAAUAUCAAUGUCCAAGUAAGAUCCACGUAGGUAAGUUCUAAUGGAUCCACGAUUACGUUUUAUCAUAGAAUUAUCCUAGGAUAAUACAUAGCUGUAUAAUGAACUGCACUGAUCCAACAAAGCUAAUUGAAUAGAGCUUUUGUGCAGAUAACAAGAACAAAGAUACCUUUAGUAGCUUUUUAAUUUCAAAAAAAUUAAAGCCUUAAGGAUAUAUUUUCAAUUACGCAGGCUCUAUCCCUCACUGUCCAACAGAAAAACAAUGAAAUACUAAAUCCAAAUAACACGCUGACCAGGAAAAAAAAUCAAGAAUUUUUGAAGAUCCUCCAACUCAGGACUGAGUGUCGAAGCUCCUUCUAUUGGAGAAUUGGGAAUGGUUGCUCGGUAUCCCUCUGGUUUGAUAACUGGCACCCCAGGGGCCCUUUGAACUUGUACUUUUCAGACUCGGCCAUAUAUGCAUCUGGCAUUCCUAGGCAGGCGACAGUGACGGACCUAUUCACUAAUUGUGGAGCUAUCAUUAAGGGGGUCUUGGACUCUUGGGCGAAUCCCCUUCCCACCCUCUCCCACUCUUCCAAUCGUUUCGGCUGGAAGGGAAAUACCUCCCAUCUCUUUACGGUGGCUUCGGCGUGGGAUUUGAUUAGGAGGAGGAAGACUCGGGUCUCCUGGCACACAUUCAUUUGGAACAACUCCAUCACUCCAAGGUACCAAUUUAACCUUUGGCUUAUUGCCAAACACAGGCUUCCUACCCAAGCUCUAUUAUUAUCUUAUGGUAGGAUAGAUAGUGCCUUGUGUCCAUUAUGCAAUGAGGUACCGGAUUCUAUAGACCACCUAUUUUUUGGCUGCCGCAUCUCCGCUAGCAUCGCCUUCUUUUGGGCCUCUAGGUGCAAUCUUCCGUGGCAAAACAAUUCGUGGGUCGAGAACCUCAAUUGGGCCGCCACUUUCCUUAUGGGUAAAGACUUUUAUAAGUGCAUUGCUCGCUUCUCUUUUGGUGCUCUUUGUUACUACAUAUGGAAGCACAGAAAUAGCAUCCUAUUUCGAAAGCAAAGCUUAUCCGUCCCAGAGGUGAAGAAUCAACUCAUCAAGGUUGUCAGAGACAAGGCCACCACCUACAGGAAUGUGGAUGAUACAUAUAGAAACCGGAGGCUACAGCGUAGCUGGGGUAUUGAUCCAAUCAUUUUUUCAGCUAGGGACUCUUCUACUUCUGCAGGGCCCUAGCCUGGUGUUUGCUGUUUGGAUACUCUUCAUCUUCACGGCUACUUCCUUGAUGGUUCUUCACUUUUGUCGCUACCGGAUGUAUGCGUAGUUUGUGGUUCUCUUGGCCUUUCGUGGCCUUCUGUUGCCUUUUGCCUUAUGUGGCUGGCUUGCUUACUUAGGCCCGCUCUUGCGGUCCUCUUUUGCAUUCGACUCCCUUCCACUCACCCUGACUUGUUGUAUUGUUGAGUGCAAGUUGUGGUGUCGGAUCUUUUGUAUUUUUUGGUUAAAGCUCAAUAUAUUCUUACCUUUCACCCAAAAAAAAAUCAAGAAUUUUUGAAGAAAUCCUUUAACUACGUAACAGUACAGGAAAAAGGAUAAUUGAGAGUGAUAGGAAUCUUAAAAAUAUUCUUGAAUUACGGUCGUCCAGUUCAACAAUCAUGCUUUAAUUGUUGAUCACGCCUUAACUCGAAACACCAUAGCAGCUCGCACACCAACUAUGCAUCUAUUCAUGAAAGGAAUCUCCUCUCGAUGCCAUGAAACAAAUUAAGCUAAAUCAUCCCAAUUUCCACUCUUGGUCACGCACAAUCCGUUGAUUCUGGGAAAGCUCCACAUGCGUUCAACAAUCGGCAAGCCUUCACCCACUCCGAUUUGGUAAAAUUCAAUGGCGAACCGCCUAAAUCAGCUCCUAAGCCUCCAAAAUUCGACUGGUAACAUGGCCGCGCAUUGGUCAAAACAGACGAAGGAUCAAAAUCCAACUUCAAAUUACAUUAAAAAAAUGGUCGCAUUCCAUUCAAUUUACCAUUUCAUUCUUCGAUUCAGAAUCGAGUGACAAAAUCCAAAACAGAAGCAGGGAGACAAGCUUUAGUUCAGAGUUCAGACACGCCCAAGGCCAUAAUCAUUUUAGUGUCAUCCACGGUAAGAAAGGUUCUAGAGUCUUACGUGUUAUAUUAUUUAACAUUCGUGAAGGUAUACCAUUUAUUCAUGUGUUAUCUUAGGUUUUCAAUUUAUUAGGCAAAAGAACGCUUCAACUGCCAUAACUUUGCACAAAUGGACACUUAAGUGCCAUAACUUACGAAAGGUACACUUAAGUGCCACAUUCGAAGAAAAACGAAUUACUUGAAUGCCACUCCGGCAAAAGUCCGCCCAAAAUAUUGACGUGGCAUUUUUCCGGCAAAGCGCGCCCAAAAUGACGCCGUUUUGCAUGCUGACGUGGCCAAAUAAUACAAAAACGACAUCGUUUUGGGCUAAUGUGGUAAAAAAAUAAUGAAAAAUUAAUUAAAUUAAAUUGAAAAUUAAAUUUAGUUAAAAUAUUAAAAAAUAAUAAUUAAAAAAUUUUAAAAUUUUAAAAAAAUUAUAAGAUAAAAGAAGGAAAGGGGAGAGGCGGCUGAGGGAUCAACCCUCAGUUGCCGCUGUCGCCGCCGCCGCUGCCCGUCAUCGCCGAGAAUGGCCGAUGAUGCCAGGGGGAGGGUCGACCGAGGUCACCAGGCCUUAGCCAGGGGCCGGUAACCCCGGCCGACCGGUGGCGAGGGCUCGCGGCCCUCAUCCAGAUCCGGCGAGGGUCGACGGCCCUAGGCUCGGCCGGGUGACGGCUACCGACCCUCGCCCUAAUCUGGGCGAGGGUUGCAACCCUUGCCCUAAUCUGGGGCGAGGGCUCGCGAGCCCUCAUCCCCAGUCAGCCGGGGCCAAUAGCCCCUAGCCAGGGCCUAGCGACCCCAACCGACCCUCCCCCCGUCGUCGCCACCCCUUCCCAGUAGCAACAGGGCGGCGGCAGCAGGUCAAGGCUAAUCCCUCAGCCGCCUCCCCCCCUUUCUUCUUCUUCUUCUUUUUUUUUAAAUUUAAAAUUAUUAUUUUAAUAUUUUAACUAAAUUUAAUUUAAUUAAUUUUAUUAUUAUUAUUAUUAUUUUACCACUUUAGCCCAAAACAACAUCAUUUUUGCAUUAUUUGGCCACAUCAGCGUGCAAAACGGCGUUGUUUUGGGCUCGAUUCGCCGGAAAAAUGCCACGCUGGCGUUUUGGCCGGAUUGGCACUCAAGUGAUCCAUUUUACUCUGAUUUUGGCACUUAAGUAUACAUUUUGUAAGUUAUGACACUUAAAUGUCCCUUUGAGCAAAGUUAUGGCACUCUAGGGGUCCACACGUCCAACUUAUUACAAAGUGAAAGUUAAUGGAAAAAUAUAUAGUAUAUAUUUAUAAGCGGCCUUCUUAGAAAAGUGUACAUGUCCAAUGACCAAUUUCUAGAGCAGCAAAAAUAAAGACUCAACCCAAUAGAGGAAACACAACGUUGAUAUUCAAACAAAAAUGUGAAGCUGAAUAAAAGGAAAAUAGUCAAACGAAACUUUCACUAAGAAUAGGAAGCAUUAAAUAAGUCCGCUAGAAUUGUAUUAAUAUAUAUCUAGGAUAAGUACAUUGAAAAUUUUUAAACUUGUCAAGAAAGUACAAUUACGUUUUAAAACUUUCAAAAAGUGCAAUUGAGUUUUAAAACUUAUCGAGAAUGUACAAUCAAGCUGUAAAACUUUCCAAAAGUGUAAUCAAGUUCUAAAACCAUUCACAAAAAUGCAACCGAGUCAUAAACUUUUCAAAAAGUGCAGUUAAUGAAAAUAUUCGAUUUAACUAAUUUGACAAAUUUUAUAACUCGAUUGUAUUUUCUGAAAGUUUUAUGCCUCAAUUGCACUUUCGCGAUAAGUUUUAUGAGCCCCCAAUAUCUUUAUUUCUACAUAUUUCCAUACUCAUUUCAUAUUGUGAGACAAAAAUUAAUGAUAUUUAAAUAAUAAAGGAAAUAACUUUAGAGUUUUUAUAGUACAUUUUCAAGUGGUUAAAUUGACUUAAGAAAAGGUUUAUUUUGCGUACAACCAUCCCAACUGAUGAUUAGAUAAUUGUAAUAAAAUCACCAAACAUAUCAAUCAACUCAAACUAUAGAAAACAUAAUAUUGAUAUUCAAACAAAAAUAUGAAGCUGAAUAAAAGGAAAAUACUCAGACAAAACUUUCAAUAGAGAAUAGUAAGAAUUAAAUAAUUCUCACCGAGAUUGUAUUAAAACAUAUUUGGGAUAAGUAUGUUGAAAAUUUUUAAACUUGUCUAGAAAGUACAAUUACAUUUUAAAACUUUCAAAAAGUGCAAUCAAGUCUUAAAACUUAUCACUAAUGUAUAGUCAAGUUGUAAAAUUUUUAAAAAGUGUAAUCAAGUUUUAAAAUUUGUCACAAAAAUACAAUCUAGUAUAAAAAUUUUAAAAAGUACAGCGAACGAAAGAAUUCGAUUUGACCAAUUUGACAAGCUUCAUAACUUGAUUGCACUUUUCGAAAAUUUUAGGCUUCGAUUGCAUUUUCACGGUUGGUUUUAAGACUUAAUUCCAUUUCUUGUUAUGACUCGAUUGUAUUUUCGCAAUGAGUUUUAGGACCCCAAUACACUUAUUUCUACAUAUUUUCAUACUCAUUUCAUAUUGCUAGACAAAAUUAACGAUAUUUAAAUAAUGAAAGAAAUAACCUUGGAUUUUUUUAGUACAUUUUCAAGUGGCUAAAUUGACUUAAGAAAAGGUUUGUUUUUGGUACAACCAUUCGAAUGGUGCUUAGAUAAUUGUAAUAAAAUGAUAAAAACAUAUCAUUAAACUGAGAAUAUAGGAAACAUAAGAUUGACAUUCAAACAAAAAUGUGAAGCUGAAUAGAAGGAAAAUACUCAGACAAAACUUUUGACAGAGAAUAGUAAGAAUUAAAUAAUUCUUGUUGUGAUUAUAUUAAUAUAUAUUUGGGAUAAGUAUAUUGAAAAUUUUUAAAAGUGCAAUUACAUUUUAAAACUUUCAAAAAGUGUAAUCAAGUGUUUUAAAACUUAUCACGAAUGUAUAAUUAAAUCAAAAAACUUUCAAAAAGUAUAAUAAAAAAUUCUAAAUUUGGUAAUGAAAAUGCAAUCGGGUCAUAAAAUUUUCAAAAAGUACAGCUAACGAAAGGACUCGACUAGAUCAAUUUGACAAGCUUAUAACUCGAUUGCACUUUUUGAAAAUUUUAUGUUACGACUGCACUUUCGCAAUAAGUCUUACAACUUAAUUGCACUUCUUGAAAGUGUUAUGACUCGAUUCUAUUUUCAUAAUAAGUUUUAAGACCCCCAAUACGCUUAUUUCUACAUAUUUUCAUACUCAUUUCAUUUUGCAAGACAAUAUUAAUGAAAUUUAAAUAAUGAAAGAAAUAACUUUUAAUUUCUUUUAGUACAUUUCCAAGUGGUUAAAUUGACCUAAGAAAAGGUUUUUUUUUUCGUACAACCAUUCCAACUUAUGCUUAAAUAAUCAUAAUUAAAUCAUCAAAACAUAUCGAUCUAAUUAGCUAGAUCAUUAACACGCAUUUAGAAUCCAAGGGAAACAUUUAAAGUACAAGAUCAGUAGUGAAAUUCGCUUUAGAAGUUCAUACAUGGGGCAUGUCUAUUAUUAAUGCUAACUCAACGAAUUUUGGGCAUAUUUUGCAUUGAAAUUUGAUGAAAUUAUCAAAAUUUCCGUUGGAAAUUAGGAUUAUAAGUGAAAGGCCCAGCGAUGAGAUCUCCAAGGUCAAAAACAUGUAAUUUCCCAAGCUGUCAUUUUGCAUAAUUUGAUUUUCAAGGUCUUGACCGAAAAAAAAUAGGAUUAAUGUCAUGAAAAAUCUCAAAUCCAUACGCAUGUGACAAAUUUAAACUAAACUAUUUUUUUUUUGUACCAUAGAAAACCUCACAAUUAAUACACAUGCGACAAUUUUACCCUCCACUAAUUUCUUUUAAAUUCUAUAGUCAAAUUACCAAAUUAGACAAGACAUGGCAGUUGACGAGUUAGCGAUUUAGGGUUUGACCCUGCAUUUGUCAUAUGUACAAUAUUUUGUACUUUUUACAGUAUUGAUACAAUUUAAUAAAUAUUAAUGUAUGAUAAAUUUGUCAUAAAUGCACUGAAUAAAAGUUUUUGAUGCUAAAAAAAUUAGUUUAAUAGUCAAAAAUUAUAUUGGGGCUUUUUAUGGUACUAAUAAAGUUACUAAUAAAGAAAAUCUUAAUUUUUAGAGAUACCAAUCACACAUAACACGAUGGAAUGAAAUUAAAUUUUUUCUAAUAUGGUAACAGGUGUCUAGCUUAUUUUUAUAAUAAAGUCAUUUUGGAAAAAAUUGCAAUACCCAUAGUUUAACUGUUUUGAAGUGACUUGAUUUUUUUUUUUUUUUAGCUUUUCUCAGUCAAAGAUAUUUUCAAAAUUUAGAAAAUCCAAAAUGAAGGUGCAAAAUCGUAUGCGAUUUUUAAAUGCAAAUGUUAUUUGAGACAAUGUUCAUUUCAUGAUUUUAUUUGUUAAAAUCAGGAUAUUUUAUUUGAGCAAUGGACCGGUGCAUCAAUAUUCCCACCUUAACCAUGUCAAAUCCAUUAUCAACACCAAGAGGCUGAACGUCUUCGGCAUCUGCCAUCUCCUUAUGCUAAUCAAAGGAAAAACUCUACAUGAUUAAUACAGGUAAAUAUCAAUGUCCAAGUAAGAUCCACGUAGGUAAGUUCUAAUGGAUCCACGAUAACGUUUUAUCAUAUAAUUAUCCUAGGGAUAAUAUAUAGCUGUAUAAUGAACUGCACUGAUCCAACGAAGCUAAUUGAAUAGAGCUUUUGUGCAGAUAACAAGAACAAAGAUACCUCUAGUAGCUUUUUAAUUUCAAAAAAAAUAAAGCCUUAAGGAUAUAUUUUCAAUUACGCAGGCUCUAUCCCUCACUGUCCAACAGAAAAACAAUGAAAUACUAAAUCCAAAUAACACGCUGACCAGGAAAAAAAAUCAAGAAUUUUUUAAGAAAUCCUUUAACUACCAUAACAGUACAGGAGAAAGGAUAAUAGAGAGUGACAGGAAUCUUAAAAAUAUUCUUGAAUUACGGUUGUCGAGUUCAACAAUCAUGCUUUAAUUGUUGAUCACGCCUUAACUCGAAACACCAUAGCAGCUCGCACACCAACUAUGCAUCUAUUCAUGAAAGGAAUAUCCUCUCGAUGCCAUGAAACAAAUUAAGCUAAAUCAUCCCAAUUUCCACUCUUGGUCACGCACAAUCCGUUGAUUCUGGGAAAGCUCCACAUGCGUUCAACAAUCGGCAAGCCUUCACCCAGUCCGAUUCGGUAAAAUUCAAUGGCAAAUCGCCUAUAUCAGCUCCUAAGCCUCCAAAAUUCGACUGGUAACAUGGCAGCGCAUUGGUCAAAACAGACGAAGGAACGAAAUCCAACUUCAAAUUACAUUAAAAAAAAAAUGGUCACAUUCCAUUCAAUUUACCAUUUCAUUCUCCGAUUCAGAAUCGAGUGACAAAAUCCAAAACAUAAGCAGAGAGACAAGCUUUAGUUUAGAGUUCAGACACGCCCAAGGACAUAAUCAUUUUAGUGUCAUCCACGGUAAGAAAGGUUCUAGAGUCUUACGUGUUAUAUUAUUUAAGAUUCGUGAUAGUAUACCAUUUAUUCAUGUGUUAUCUUAGGUUUUCAAUUUAUUAGGCAAAAGAACACUUCAAGUGCCAUAACUUCGCACAAAUGGACACUUAAGUGCCAUAACAUACAAAAGGUACACUUAAGUGCCACAUUCGAAGAAAAACGGAUCAUUUGAGUGCCACUCCGGCCAAAGUCCAGCCAAAACUAGAUGUGGCAUUUUUCCGGCAAAGAGCGCCCAAAACAACGCCGUUUUGCACGCUGACGUGGCCAAAUAAUACAAAAACGACAACUUUUUGGGCUGAUGUGGUAAAAAAAUAUUAAAAAAAUAAUUAAAUCAAAUUUAAAAUUAAAUUUUGUUAAAAUUUUAAAAAAUAAUAAUUUUAAAUUUUAAAAAAUAUUUUAAAAAAAAAAGUAAAGGGUGGUGGCAACUAAGCGAUCAACCCUCAGCCGCCGGCAUCGCCUGGCUGGCCGGCGACGGCGGGGAGAUGUUCAGCGAUGGCUCACGAUCCUCGCCCAAAUCCGACAAAGGUCGGCAGCCCUUGGCCCGGCCGAGCGAGGGCCAUCGACCCUCGCCCUGAUCUGGGCGAGGGUUGCGACCCUUGCCCCAAUAUGGGGCGAGGGCUCGCAAGCCCUCGCCGCCAAUCGGCUAGCGUCGAUAGCCCUUGGCCAGGGACCAGCGACCCCGGUUGACCCUCCCCGCCGUCGUCGGCCCUUCCCGGCAGCGGCACUAAGGGCUGAUCCUUCAAUCGCCUCCCCGCCUUUCUUUUUUUAAAAAAUUUUUAAAAUUUUAAAUUAUUUUUUUAAUAUUUUAACUAAAUUUAAUUUAAAAUUAUUAUUUUUAAAUAUUUUAACUAAAUUUAUUUUUAAAUUAAUUUUUAUUACUUUUUUAUCACGUUAGCCCAAAACGACGCCGUUUUUGCAUUAUUUGGCCACGUCAGCGUGCAAAACAGCGUCAUUUUGGGCUCGAUUUGCCACAAAAAAUGCCACGCCGGCGUUUCGGCCGAACUUUGGCGGGAUUGGCACUCAAGUGAUCCAUUUUACUCCGAUUUUGGCACUUAAGUGUACUUUUCAUAAGUUAUGACACUUAAGUGUCACUUUGUGCAAAGUUAUCGCACUCCUGGGGUCUACAUGUCCAAUUUAUUACAAAAUAAAGUAUUGUGAGAAAUACCUUACUACUACAAACUAAAGAUUGAAUAAAUCUAGGGACUUGAUUACGCUUGAUUACUCUAAUGCUCUUUCAAUACAUUUUCUCAUAUAUUUUUAAAAAUAUUUUGCAAUAGUCUGAGUUGAUUUUAAUUCUAUCAUUUAACAUGUAAGGUAAUCAUGUAGGUGCGCAACUAUUAUUAAACAUCAAAAAAAAAGCAUGGCAACCAAUAAAUUGCAAAUGUAGGGAGUAAAUACUUACCUUGAUGUAACGCAAGCAUUUGCAACAAAUACUAAUUAGAAACACCUGUUCAACUUAAAUAUGACUUCUAAUUAUCACGCAAUUCACUCAACUUUUUUUAUUAUUAUAGGAUUUUAGCUUAUUUAAAUGAAGGCUGAGCUACACAAUGUACAAAUAUAGUUUAUAUUAACAUGACAUGUGACUUUCAAUUAACAUGCAAACUAUAUGACACUCAAUUUUAAUUUAAUGACCUAAUUUAAAUGACGGACAAUGAUUAAUACGUAACUAUUAUACAUGACAUGCACAUGAUAUUCACUUAAUUAAAUGAAAGGUAAACUACGUGCAAUGCAUGCAAUGACGUGCAAAAAUAGUUUAUAUAACAUACACGAGACUUUAAAAAAAUAAUAAUCCUAACACACAAACUAUACACACAAUUUAAAUUUAAUGACCUAACUCUUUUGACAGGCAGGUAAUGAUUUAUAUGUGACUACUCUACAUUAAAUGCGUGUGAUAUUUUUUUAUAUUAAAAUUUGCAACUAAAAAUGAGGGAAAUUAACUAUUUGGAAUAAAGAUAAUAUCUAAUUCAACUUAAGUAUUAAAUUGUGUCAAUUCCUAAUUUGAAUUAGAAUCUUAUCAUGAAUAUUAUAGAAUCUACUUAGACAUGCAAUGUUAUCGAAUAGAGCUAAUUAAUCUACAAGCAAUCUUUUUUUCUUUUUUAAUUUUCAAAUAAAGACAACCAAAACAAUCACACAAAUUACAAAAUAUCAACGAAUUGCCAAAGAUAUCAUCCAUAACUCAAAUUAGAGAACAAUAUCUAAUUAACUUGAUUAUUCUGCUAAUAAAAUCAAUAAAUUGAUCUUAAAUCUUAAAGAUCAAAAUUUCAAUUUUAAAGAUUACUGCGUAAUUAAUUAUUCAAUCUAAAACUUUAUGGAUAGAAUAAAAAAUUGAUGUGUGGUUGCGGAUUAGAAAACAAAUCCUCGUGGAUAUUGUCUAUCACUCAAAUAUGUACAUUAGAUAUUGAAUAAUCAAAUUAGGCCAUAAAAUAUUCACCAAAAUCAGAUUAAGAUUAUUACCUAAAUUUGAAUAUUACGUUUCCAAAUUGGAUCGACAAAGGUGGCUCAGAUGAAUGACGAACGAUGUGGCCGGUGACACGAUGCUUGCUGGCGGACGGCUGUUGUGACAUCCUGAAAUUCGACCCCGUUUCGAUAAAGUGAAAUGGACAUUUCGUCGACGUGCCUAUGGCCCUUUUUCUCUGAGCUGAUCACUCACGAGUUAACUAACCUAUUUGGUGAAGCCGUUAAGGGAUGUAUCAGCUGUAAAAUCCCUAAAAACUACCUAAUUGGUUGGAUUGAGCUAAAAUCAUGUUUGAUCGAUUUUUAACCACGAAAUUGAACUCGAUUUCGGGAAUCGAAUUUUAAGCGCGUCAUAAUUCUUAUUUUUAGGAUCUUGUCUCGUCGCUCGUCAAUUUAUUGACGGGUCCCAAAUUUCAAUAAAGAAAUUAUCAGAAGAAAAAUUGAAGCCCAAAAGAAAAUAGAAAGGAAAAGGAAAAGAGAAAAGGAAAAUUGAAAUAAAGAAUUAUGCAUUUCCUUUUCUUUUUCCUCUCUCUCCCUCUCUUUUCUUUUCUUUCUUUUCUCUCUUUUCUUUCUCUCUCCUCUCUCCUCUCCCCUCCCCCUCGUGCGAAUUGCCCCCACCGCCCAUUCUCUCUCUCUCUUUCUUUUUUCCCCUUUGACCAGUCAAUGUUUAUCUACUCUCCUCUCUCUCAUCUCCCUCCCUCGACAUUUCCUUCCCCCUUCCGUUCGAGCGAACCAGAGACGGAGGAAGGACAGCAGCUCGCCGCGACUGUCGCCCGCUUGCCGCUCGUCCCGCUGCCGCACCGCCGCCCGCACUGCACCCGCGCGCUCGCCGCCGUUCCGCCGUCCGCGCAUGCCCAGGCCGCGCGAACCAGCCGUUGUUCGCCCCUGUUCCGCACCGACCAGCCACCGUCCGGCCACCUCCGGCCACCGCCUAGCCCCGCCGAACCUCCCCCGCGACCCCCUCGCUCUCCGCCGGCUUCCCCUCGCCGCCCUAGCCGCCGGAGCAACCCCGAUCAACCCCAAUCGGCUCCGUCCAGCAGACCCACGGAGUGGGUUUGAGCAACUUCGGGCCCGCUUUUGGGUCGUUUCCCGGCCCCGAACCCGAGCCAUGCUUUGGGAACAAUUGUUCCUCGCGUCGCUGCCGUCGGAUUGAUUCGAUUUAUGCACGAUUUGGUGAGUAAUCUCACUAAUCCCGGAUUAGUUGGCUAAUUAUACUUAAGGUUGGUUUAGUUUUAAUUAAUUAUGUUUAUGUUGUUAGAUUAGAAUAAAUUAGCAAUUAUUAGUCAAUUGUGAUGUGAUUUAAAUAAAUUGAUUGCGUAAUUAGCAAGUAGACGUGGUCUACCAUUUAUUGGAAGUAUCUUGGGAAUUUUCUGACCCCUAAUUGGGCUUCAAUUUGGCGAUUCAGGUCUAAGUGGGAUUUUUGGGCAUUUAAAUAUUAAUUUUCAGAAUUAAAUUAAAUAAUUAUUUAUUUUCCGAAAAUUCAAGGGAGAUGGUCCGGAACCGGAAUAUUAUGCGGAUGACUAUGGUGAAGUCCGUUUAUUUAAUCGGGCUUUAUUUUGAGCUAAAUUGAAUUUUUAAUAUUAAUUAUUUAAUUUUCGAAAUUAAUUAAUUAUUUAUUUAUUUCCUGAAAAUUCAACUGGGAUGGCCCGUGACCGGAAAAUUAUGCUGAUGACUGUGGUGAAGUCCGUUUAUUUAUUUGGACCUUAUUUUGAACUAAUCGGAAUUUUUAAUAUUUAAUAAUUAAUUUUCGAAAUUAAUUAAUUAUUUAUUUAUUUUCGGAAAUUGAAAUUGAGAUGGCCGACGACCGAAAUCUCAUGCCGAUUGUCGUGGCGCAGUCCGUUUAUUUAUUGGAGCUUUGAAUUAUGCCAAAUUGAAUUGAAUGUGGAAUUUAUGAUAUAUUCCUAAAUUGUUGUGGUUAAUUAUUUCAUUAAGAAAUCGUUGAAUAUUGAUUGAGUAUCGAAAGUGGUCGAGUGGGACCGUAAAGCCAUUGAAUAUCGAAAGUGGUCAAGUGGGACCGUAAAGCCAUUGAAUAUCGAAAGUGGUCGAGUGGGACCGUAAAGCCAUUGAGUAUCGAAAGUGGUCGAGUGGGACCGUAAAGCCAUUGAGUAUCGAAAGUUGUUGAGUGGUGGACUGUGUCUUUCAUCUUUGCUCAAGAUGUGAUAUGAGGAUCGUGAUUCGUAAUUGAUGAUUGAGAUGGAAUAAUCGAAUUGACCUAGAAUGGUCCGUCUGACAUGUAAUCGACGAGGUCGAUUGAUCAUUGCUUUGAUUUUAUGUUAUGAAUUGAUUGACUGAAUGGAAAUGACCGUGAGUGGUCUUGUUGGCAUUUAAUCGACUAGAUCGAUUUGAUCGAUGCUUCGAUCGGUGAUAUGAUUGCUUGGGUUCCUAUUAUGAAUUGUACUGACUUGCAGGUGGGAUCUGAGGCCAAGGUACGUCUUCUGCCCCGUGUGUGUAUAGGCAGCCUGUAGUAUAAUGGUUUACUAAUCGAGGCUUAGUGGGGUAGAACUCGUUGAGACGUAGUCUCAUCCCAGUUUGGGGAAAUCAUUUCAGGACCUCGCUGAGGAGCUGAGGAGGAGGAGUUUGAGAAGAAUUUUUGGAAGAAGAAGACUUGAGUACGGCCUAGAUGGACUGAAAUUUUAUCUUCUCUUGAGAUUUCCAUUUUGAUGUGAAUAGAGUUUAGAGUAAAGAGUUGUGGAGUACUCUGGGUGUGUUUUGUAUAAAAGUUCGGUUAUAAAUUUUAAUAUGAAAAAUAUGGCCCUGCUUUUCUAUCUCAUUGUUUUAUUGUCUGGGGAUUUAUAACUACUUCCGCAUAUGCUUAAAAAAACGAAAGGGUCAGCGAUAGAUUGUCCUGGGAUAUCGCAUUAUUAAAUCAACCAAGUCAGACGGAUGUGUGCGUGCCUGAGGAUCGGGGCGUGACAGCUGUAGCUAUUCCCGAGGGGUGACCAAGGACAAGUGGUAUGCCGCAGGUGGGGGAGUGCCGUGGCAAUGUGAGGAAGCUCUAUCGGACUGAAUUGCGACACUUGUGAUGGUGGAAAGACCAGGGCAACAAUUGGCAAGGCUCCGAGAUCAGUGUGAGUUGUAACUUGAAGGCACGACCAUGGGAACGAAUUCUCCAUUGGCGAUGUUGGCGUCUCUGGAGAAACCUAAGCCAGUGACCAUUGGGCUAUAGUUGACACUAAAAGAACCAUCAAAAUUGGUGGUUUCAUUGAGCGCACCAUCAACGCCACAGGAAGUUUACCAUGCGGUGUGAACUAGUUUGUCACGAUGACAAUGUAGAGCCGCCACCCCAAAAGACUCACCAAUGUAUAAUAGUAAGUUGUCAAAGCAAGAGCCGCCACUGGAAAAGUCCCAUGAUAAUCGAAACAUUCCCUUUGACUCAAUCAUUUGGCAACCAAGCGAGCCUUGUUAUGUUCAACGGAACCAUUUGCGUUGUGCUUAAAUUUGCAUACCCAUUUGCAACCAAUUUGGUUUUCAAUGCAAAGGUAGAUUGACAAUAUCCCAAGUGUGGUUCUCAAUGAGAGAAUGUAGUUAAGCUUCCAUGGGCUUGCCAUUGUGGGUUACGCAUUGCUUCAUCAAAAGAUGAUCAUUCUUGUUCCUCUUAUAUGCGACUAAUACAACAUAUAUGUUCUGAUGAUAGUCGGCCAAAUGAAAUAUAAGAGGAGAUAGGAGGUCAUGUACAUGGAGAAAUCAAUGUGGCACAUUUGUACUCUUUGGUCCAUGCCAAGGAGCAAAUGUGGCUGCUCAAUAUGCCUUUGUCUUGGAACUAGUGAGCAAGAAUCAUCAAGGCAUGGAUGCGGGGAUCCCACUGAAGAUGCAGGUGUCAUUGAAGAAACAGGCAGAUCAUCUUUGUCAGAUGAUGAUGUAGGUGAUUCAAUUUCUUGAUUCAAAGAAUUUGAAUCAGUUGGAAUAUAUGAUAUAAGGUUUGCUGAAAUGAAAACAUAUUAAGGACUCACAGAUUAAUCCUCUUCUAAUAAGAAUUGACUGUUGUUUGAUUUUGGCAUAGGCGAUUUAGAUGAAGGUGUCAUUUCCUAGAAUGAAAACAUAUUAAGAACUCACAGAUUAAUCCUCUUCACAUUGUGGACAGGGAUAACAAUUGCGGUACAUAGAAUUAAGUUCACAAGUUGUCAGCAAAAAAAAUCAAUCGACGAGUCUCUAGUCCUUGUGGGUAUGACUUGAAGGAGUCUUGCAAAGGCAAAGGACUUCCGUUCUUGGCCAUACAAAAGAAAACGAGUGGGACCAAGAAGUGGUUAGAAAAAUGGAAAAUCAAAUCAAAUCAAAUAGAAAAACCUCUGUUGACGGACCCAUCCUCAUUUAUAAAUCUCGCACGUAUUAAAUCAACGCUCGUAUCAAGUUUCCACGUUAACUUUCACAAAACUACGUACUUCUAAUCCAAGGCAUUCUUGUUCAAUGCAGAUAUAUAUGGGCUUUUGACCUUUCUGUGAGCACUAUAAUAACUCAUUCUUAUUUAUACAUCUUGGAUUUAUUACCUCUGUUGAUAAAAGAGGGGAAUCUGCACGUCUAUGGGCACGUGCAUGUGCAUGUUAUCUACUUUUAUAUGCCUAGUCACCGGCUGACGAGAGAAACAGAUGUUAUCUUAGUUGAAUAUUCGUGCAUAAACCAAAUUCUUUUCAUCCGGACCUAGUAGCUGAAUUCGACUAACUUAUCAAAGUUUACUGAAAUGAAUACCCUGCUCGGCUUGGAAAUAUUUUGCCAGCGAAAAAGAAGAAUGACUAAUGUUAGAGUGUUUUGUUAACUUUAUAGACUUAAACAAUGCGAGUCCAAAGGACACAUUCCCUUUGCCAAUCGCCGAGCUACGGAUAGAAUGGAUAUUCCAGCAGCAAUCAAUACAAGAAUGGAUCCAAAUGGUGGCGAGGAAACGACGGCCUUUAUAAUUCCCAGGGGAAUGUUCCGAUACAAAGUUAUACAUUUUAGGUUCAAAGAAAGCGGGCGCAAGGGGACUUCGCUCCACUAUAUCAUCUAAUGUUAUGCGGACGAUUUGGCGGUCAAGACUAAAGACGGGGGCGAUCACCUAAAUGAUCUCUAGCAAAAGAUUUCAGAGCUUGUGGACCAAUGUCGUCUCGACCAAUUAAUUAUGUGAGUUCCAUGUUGGAUGAAUUAAUUAUUAGACCAUACAACAUUUUUUCCCACCACACCAGCAAAGACAAUUUUUCACGCGGAAACUGUAUUUUGACUUUUGAGUCAAUACUGAAUACGUAAUUAUAUAAUUGCAUAUACUUGAAGUUCGUCUGUAUACAUUUCUUUUUUAUGACAUACUCAGGUAUUAUUAUGCUUUUCUUUGGGGAAGAUUGAAGAUUGAAGGAUAUGUAAUCUCCAGUAGGUGUGUAUCAUCAAAGAUCUCAAGUGCACAAAUUUAUAAAAGCAGAUGUUGGAUGAAUCUAAGAAUUAAGGGACUUCUUCACGAAUUUUACUCCCCUAGCUUUUCUCUUCAGUAUUCUUUUUUUCCUGCUUGUGCAUGCCCAUUUCUCUUCCUCAUUUACUCCCACCUAUUCACCAGCAUCAUACUCAUUGCAACUAAAUGACUGGCAAAUAUGAAAAUGAUCUAACACAUAAGAAUUAUAUAGAAUCAUAUAUGAAAAGAAAUGGAUGAAAGAUAUUUCCAAUCGUAUGACAACCCCGUACACUUUAAACCUACGAGUUUAAAAGCUGUGAGCAUUGUAAACAAAGAAACUCCAAACAUAUUCAAUGCUGGAUCCAAGAAACACUUCUAUAUAUCUCUAUUUCUUAUUCUCCGGACGACCAGGAAACAAGAAAACUCUAUUAUCAAUCUUGAAGUUCAAGAACCAUAUCCAAGAAAACAAUUAUUCUCCCAACUACAUAAGUAUACCAUUCUUACCCCCACUAUGCUUCUCUUAACCUUCGGAUGCCCAUAAAAGCAAACGUAUACUCGAUUUUAGAGGAGAAGAUCGUUACGCCAUUAGGCUUCAAUGAAUUCUACGAAGAGCGCAGCAUGCUCCUCUUCAGCCCGGGUGAUCUCUUCUCGAAUUUCCUGCACUCUGGCUCGCGUCGCUGCAAUGCGGGCUUCCGGGUGAUUGAUAUUCACGGCCCGCCUAGCAUGCAUUAACAAGGCAUUCACUUUAAAGUCGAGCUCCCAUCUGAGACGCCUUAACCUCCUCUCCACUUCCUCAAGCUCGUCUAGAACAACUUGGUCAGUCCUUGGCAUUUUCUCUCCCUCUCUCAGUCUCUCUUAGUGUUUUCCAGGUUCAAGAUAAGAAGGCAGAAGCAAGAAUCAGUUUGAGAUGAUUAACAGGAACUUUCCCCUCAGACUUCAAGAAUGGACCUUAUUUAUACUCGCGGUCACUUAAAUGAUUACGGGAAACUUCAAAACCAAUAACAGAAGAAAACAUUAUUCCGCUAGAAAUAUUACAUAAUAUUUGUUGCAUAGUUGACCGACUACAUAUUAUAGCCAACUCGAAAGAGAAAACAUUAUUCCACUCGAAAUUUCGUGAAUGGACCUUAUUUAGAGAGAGCUGUGAUGAGCACUACAAUUAGAUGGACAUAAAUCCUAUGGGAGACGUUUAAUGGGGAAGAAGCGCGUGCCAUGUUCGAAGAAGGUCUCCACUUACCAUUUUCAGACUGCUGUAAUUUUAGAGCGGGCCUUCUUAUUACGGAGUAGAUGUUGAAAUUUAAGAGGGAAACCGACCAACUUCAGAAGUCGCAUUUUUUUGGGUCUUUUGUAUGCUGGAUUGGGGUUUCUGAGAGUUUGGAUUCAUGUGAUUUUCUUUUUUCUUUGGUGGAAUGGAUUCAUGUGAUUGAGGAGCAAUGUUCUGGAGAGAGAAACAGAGAAUUAGCUGAUAAAACCCUCAAGAAAUUAUAUUCAUUUGUCUUUUUCGAGCUGCAACCCUCGUGUAGAAUUUUUCUCAACUAUGGUUCAUGUCAUGUUCGCUUUAAACCUUCCGAAUGUCCCAAUCCCAUGUUAAAGCUGAAAUUUGGUCAACGUGGGAAGUUGAGAGGUUAUAUUCAUUUGCCUUUUUCUGAGAUGCGACCUUCUUGUUUGAUUUUUGCCGACUAUGGUUCAUGUCAUGUUCGCUUUGGACCUUCAAAAGGAUAAAUCUUUAGGUUACACGUCAGGUAUGCUAUUAAGGUGAGGAUGUGGUUAGAAAAAAGAAAAAUCAAAUCAAAUCAAAUCAAAAAAAUCCGCGUUGAAGAACCCAUCCCUAUAUAUACAUCUUGCAUUUAUUAAAUCAACUGUCUUAAUAAGUUUCCGCGUGAAAGUUCAUCCCCAUCUAUACACCUUGCAUUUAUUAAAUCAACUCUCUUAAUAAGUUUCCAUGUGAAAGUUCAUCCCCAUUUAUCCACCUUGCAUUUAUUAAAUCAACUCUCUUAAUAAGUUUCCAUGUGAAAGUUCAUCCCCAUUUAUACACCUUGCAUUUAUUCAUCAUAUUAACUUUGACAACACUAUCAGGGACAAACGUUUCAAAUAUGAUCAGUGGCAUCUUCUCCCCGGUUGCUUUUUGGGUUGAGGGUUGCUUAAAUAAGGAGCAUCGGACGUUCAUUGAGAGCCCCGCGUAGCUCAAUGUAGAAAGUGUGAUGCCAGAUUUUUUCCAUAUCGUCCCAAUUGCUGGCAAUUCCACUCUCCAAAGGGUACUAAAAAGUAAGCAUGCCCCUUUUAGAUUGGGCCUCAUCUCCAACAUAAGCAACCCUGUGGCCCAUACUAACCAUGUCAACGGGGUGCCUCGAUCGACAAACCAUACUGAGGAAGACAACCCUUGGAGCAUCAUCUCCAGCAAAACUAGCCUGUCAAAUUCAGGUUAUUACGUAAGCACAAAUACCACCAUGCACUCCAGGAAAGCCCAUAGCAACGGACCGGUGCAUCAAUAUUCUCACCUUAACCAUGGCAAAUCCAUUAUCAACACCAAGAGGCUGAAUGUCUUCGGCAUCUGCCAUCUCUUUAUGCUAAUCAAAGGAAAAACUCUACAUGAUUAACACAGGUAAAUAUCAAUGUCCAAGUAAGAUCCACGUUGGUAAGUUCUAAUGGAUCCACGAUAAUGUUUUAUCAUAUAAUUAUCCUAGGGAUAAUAGAUAGCUGUAUAAUGAACUGCACUGAUCUAACAAAGUUAAUUGAAUAGAGCUUUUGUGGAGAUAACAAGAACAAAGAUACCUUUAGUAGCUUUUUAAUUUCAAAAAAAUUAAAGCCUUAAGGAUAUAUUUUCAAUUACGCAGGCUCUAUCCCUCACUGUCCAACAGAAAAACAAUGAAAUACUAAAUCCAAAUAACACACUGACCAGGAAAAAAAUCAAGAAUUUUUGAAGAAAUCCUUUAACUACCAUAACAGUACAGGAGAAAGGAUAAUAGAGAGUGACAGGAAUCUUAAAAAUAUUCUUGAAUUACGGUCGUCGAGUUCAACAAUCAUGCUUUAAUUGUUGAUCACGCCUUAACUCGAAACACCAUAGCAGCUCGCACACCAACUAUGCAUCUAUCCAUGAAAGGAAUCUCCUCUCGAUGCCAUGAAACAAAUUAAGCUAAAUCAUCCCAAUUUCCACUCUUGGUCACGCACAAUCCGUUGAUUCUGGGAAAGCUCCACACGCGUUCAGCAAUCGGCAAGCCUUCACCCAAUCUGAUUCCGUAAAAUUCAAUGGCGAACCGCCUAAAUCAGCUCCUAAGCCUCCAAAAUUCGACUGGUAACAUGGCAGCGCAUUGGUCAAAACAGACGAAGGAACGAAAUCCAACUUCAAAUUACAUUAAAAAAAAAAUGGUCACAUUCCAUUCAAUUUACCAUUUCAUUCUCCAAUUCAGAAUCGAGUGACAAAAUCCAAAACAGAAGCAGAGAGACAAGCUUUAGUUCGGAGUUCAGACAGGCCCAACAACAUAAUCGUUUUAGUGUCAUCCACGGUAAGAAAGGUUCUAGAGUCUUACGUGUUAUAUUAUUUAAGAUUUGUGAUAGUAUACCAUUUAUUCAUGUGUUAUCUUAGGUUUCCAAUUUAGUGCCAUAACUUUGCACAAAGGAACACUUAAGUGCCAUAACUUACGAAAGGUACAUUUAAGUGCCACAUUCGAAGAAAAACAGAUCAUUUGAGUGCCACUCCGGCCAAAGUCCAGCCAAAACUUAACGUGGCAUUUUUCCGGCAAAGAGCACCCAAAACAACGCCAUUUUGCACGCUGACGUGGCCAAAUAAUACAAAAACGAUGACUUUUUGGGCUGAUGUGGUAAAAAAAUAAUAAUUAAUUAAUUAAUUAAUUUAAAAUUAAAUUUAGUUAAAAUAUUACAAAUUAAUAAUUUAAAAUUUUAAAAAAAAAAAAGGAAAAGGGGGAGGCAGCUGAGGGAUCAGCCCUCAGUCGCCGCCGCCGCCGCCACCCUGCCGUCGCCGGGAAGGGCCAGUUGUCACGCCCCGAACCCCGAGCGCGCACACAUCCCACUGCAGUCGAUCAAAUGCGACAUUUCCAGGUAGUGUCGCCGACCCCAUAAAUUUUAUUAUUGCGCAAGCGGAACGUAUUAUAAAACCCCUGACAAUGAAAUACGGGAUAGAAAACAGGAAGCAAAACCACAACAUAACACUUUCAUAAUUCAACCGAAUUACAAACAGAAGCCCACAGCCAAAAGUCUACAAAAGACCGGCUCUUAAAAAGGAACUGUCCUAUGACCUACAAGUCGGACACAUUCUCCAAUCGUUAUGACUUCACCUCUGCAACUCCUCAAAGCCAACCAAAGCUAUCUGGUCGCUCCGUCCACCAGGGACCUGAAAUUUUAAUCCCACAACCGGGAUGAGACGAUGUCUCAGCAAGUUCAACCCCUAAACCCCUAUUAGAAAGAAAAUACGUCCCGGGUGGUCUAGCCACAUCACACAGAGAACUUACCUCGCCUCAAUUCCUUUCUGCAUGUUAGUACAAUUCAAAUCACUCAAUCACAUGUAGUAAUAAUAAUUCAAACAAUUGGAAUGUCAUCACUUUCAUAUAAAUCACAAUCGCACUUAGCACGCAUUCCAAUUAUUAUUCACUGCCACACAAGGGCAUAGCCUACUCGCAGUUCGGCUAUCUACUAGCAUAUAGCCAGGCAUCGCCUCCCCCCCAUGGAGCGCGGCUUCGUCAGUACGUCGACGGCAUUCCCGAAAGAGCAUGGGCCUAGAAUCUACUGUGACCCGCAACCACCGCAUGGGCAUCCCAUAUAGGGGCAAGUCCGGCUCAACAGCCCAAGACGAUUUAUCUUAAUUAUCACACAGUCAAAUCAUACUCAGCCCCGGGACACUUUGCAUUUAACUCAACGCUUCCACUUAAAAUAGUGAUUUAGGCCAUUUUUCUUCAUAUUAAAAAUAUUCCAUAAAUUACUCACGUGUGUGGGGACACGCUAAUUUCGAAUCAAAAAGCCAAUAUGUCACUUUUUCAAACCCCACUAUUUAAUAUAAUCAUUAAAAAUCCAAUUUUUGCAUCAAAACCCGACAUUUGGGUUUUUAUGAAUAAAAUCCUUAUUUAUCCCAAUCAACACUCAAUUUGCCACAAUCAAUCAUCAAAUUCAAAUUCUAAAUACACAGCAGCGAUCAGCACGAAAUUCUGAGAGUAUAAGGUCCCGACGAAAUUUUCGAAUUUUAAUAAACAAUUAAAUUUAUUCCGAAAAUUUAUUUAAAUAAUAAUAUUCAUAUUUUUCACAAUCCACAUUCAAUUUAUAAUAUCCGACCAUCAAUUUCAAAAUCCAAACACACAACAGCGACCGGCACGAAAUUCUGAGAAUUUAGGGUCCUGACGAAAUUUUUGGAAUUAAAUAAAUAAUUAAAUUUAUUCCGAAAAUAAUUAAAUAAUAAUAUUUUAAUAAUUUCGAAUAAUAAUAUAUUAUUAAAUUAUUAAAUAAUUUCGAGAUAUUUAAGUAAAUCAAAAGUAAAUUCCUUUAUGCCACAUCAAGGCUUAUAUUAAUAUAAACCUUCAUUUAGCCUUAAAUUAAACUCACUUUAAGUUAAUCAAGCACAUUAAUCUAAUCUACACUUAAAUAAAUUAAACUAACCACCUAAUAACACUUAACAUAAACUAAACACACCUACAGCAUCAUUAACCCUCUAAGCGAGGUUUAGUGAGCUAAACUCACCGGAUUAGCGAGCCGAGCAGACCAAAACGAUGGGGACGCCGAGGAGAAUAACUUUCCUCAAAGCGGGCCGAGCAUCCGAGCUUGGGAAGGCGGCCAAAACGGGCCAAACGUCCGCUGCAUACCCAUUUUUUUCAGCUGCUGUCCAUGGCGGUUUGAGGUCGAGGAAGGGUAGAUCCGGCGCAGGUUCGGGUCGGAAAGGGCGGAGGACCUACGGCGGUGGCUGGUGGCGACGAACGGCGGUGCACGGCAGCAACGAACGAGCUCCGGCAGCUCUUGCGCGAGCUAAACAGCAGCUCGGGACGAUGAGCUGGGCGAAGCGGGCGGAGCGGCGAGCGGCCAGGCGCGGGCGGAGCAGCGCGUGGCCAGGCGCGGGCGGAGCGACGCAUGGCCAGGCGUGGGCGAGCGCGAGGCAAACACUCGCGACUGCGGCAAUGGGCAAACGGCGAGACCUCCGGCUAGCGUGCAGCUUCGGACGAAACUUCUCUAGUUGCUGCUGGGUCUCGAAGCAUUCAAGGGAGAUGGAGAAGAGAGAUCGCGACGGGAGAGGAAGGGGAAGACGGAGGGCGACAGCCAAGGCGAAACGGCGACGGUGCACGGCGGCGGUGAACGGCGGAGGCGUGCGGCUUCUCCAGCUUGCUGGUUGCUGGGUUUUCAAAGAAUAAGGAGAUGAAGAAGAUGGAGAUGGAGGAGUCGCACGGUUGGGAGGAAGAAGAGAGGGAGGAGAGAGAUGGAGGAGAGAGAGAGAUGGGACCAUUUUUCUUUUCUUUUUCUUUUUCUUUAAUCCCACCAAAUGGCCCACCAUGACCUAGGAUGACAUCACACUCCACUAUCUCCCACAACCUCUUCCAAUGGGUUCACUUGCAAUUUCUGCCGAGGUCCAAUUCUUUGUACAACAACUUCUUCAAUUUCACUCGAUUCUCUUCCAAUUGAAUUAAAUUGAAGCCCAUAAAAUUAAUCCAAUGUCACCACACUUCAAUUCACAUCUUCACUUGCCCGUAGAACUAACUUAAGUCCUAAAAGUAAGGCCAAAGGCGGGCCUACUGAUUUUUCGAGCCAAAAUAGCCAUUCUCUAAUUUAAUUUCUAAAAAAAUUCUUAUUACAUGAAAAAUCUUCUAAAGAUAAGCCAAUGAUCCUAAAAUGAUUUGUGACACACCCAGACUUCUAAUUUCUGAAUUCGGUCUCAAGUCCACAGUUAAUUUCACUUUGGCACAAUACUAGCGCGGCCCAACCUACCGGGUAGCCUUUAGAAAUUUUCAUGCAUUUGACCUGUGGUUGAUCAUCUCAAGCCACAAUGUACAUCUUUGAAACAUUGGCGACUUUCGGUUGUCGGGGUAAUCUCAAGGUUUCAAAUACGAACACAGGGUACCUAAUCGAUAGAAAAUUUGGCCCAGUGUCGAUCGACAAGGAUUAUGCGAUCCGGUGGAAUCACCCACACUCGAUCACAUGCCUCUGUUGAGUCGACCUAUCUCCGAUCUCUAAUCAACUUUUAUUUGUGCUGUAAUGACCCUUGCAGAUUAGCUCGGUCGAAAGGUCGCUUUUUGGUCAAAUUCUCGAGUAUGAUGCAUUAAAAACUCUUAACGGCUUCACCCGAUAGACUAGUUUUCACAUGAAUGGCCGACUCAAGGAAAAGAACUAUAUGCGUGCCAACGAAAUGCCCGUCUUAAUUUAUUGAAAAUAGAAUCAGAAAAUCGGGAUGUCACACCAGUGACAGUCGAGGUAGGGUCAGCCGGGGUCACCGGGCCCUAGUCAUGGGAAGGAAUUCUCCAUUGGCGGUGUUGGCGUCUCUCAAGAAACCUAAGCGGGUAACCAUUGGGCUAUGGUUGACACUAAAAGAACCAUCGAAAUUGGUGGUUUCAUUGAGCGCACCAUCAACGCCACAGGAAGUUUACCAUGCGGUGUGAACUAGUUUGUCAUGAUGACAAUGUAGAGCCGCCACCCCAAAAUACUCACCAGUGUAUAAUAGUAAGUUGUCAAAGCAAGAGUCGCCACUGGAAAAGUCCCAUGAUAAUCAAAACCUUCCCUUUGAGUCAAUCAUUUGGCAACCAAGUGAGCCUUGUUACAUUCAACAGAGCCAUUUGCAUUGUACUUAAAUUUGCAUACCCAUUUGCAACCAAUUUGGUUUUCAAUACAAAGGUAGAUUGACAAUAUCCCAAGUGUGGUUCUCAAUGAGAGAAUGUAGUUAAGCUUCCAUGGGCUUGCCAUUGUGGGUUACGCACUGCUUCAUCAAAGAUGACGAUUCUUGUUCCUCUGAUAUGCAACUAAUACAACAUAUAUGUUCUGAUGAUAGUUGGCUAAAUGAAACAUAAGAGGAGAUAGGAGGACAUGUACAUGGAGAAAUCAAUGUGGGACAUUUGUACUCUUUGGUCCAUGCCGAAGGACAAAUGUGGCUGGAACUAGUGAGCAAGAAUCAUCAAGGCAUGGAUGCCGGGAUCUCACUAAGAUGCUGAUGUCAUUGAAGAAGCAGGCAGAUCAUCUUUGUCAGAUGAUGAUGUAGGUGAUUCAAUUUCUUGAUUCAAAGAAUUUGAAUCGGCUGGAAUAUAUGAUAUAGGGUUUGCUGAAAUGAAAACAUAUUAAGAACUCACAGAUUAAUCCUCUUCUAAUAAGAAUUGACUGUUGUUUGAUUUUGGCAUAGACGAUUUAGAUGAAGGUGUCAUUUCCUAGAAUGAAAACACAUUAAGAACUCACAGAUUAAUCAUCUUCACAUUGUGGACAAGGAUAACAAUUGCGGUACGUAGAAUUAAGUUCAUGAGUUUUCAGCAAAAAAAUUAAAUCGACGAGUCUCUAGUGCUUGUGGGUAUGACUUGAAGGAGUCUUGCAAAGGCAAAGGACUUCCGUUCUUGGCCAUACAAAAGAAAACGAGUGGGAUCAAGAAGUGGUUAGAAAAAUGGAUAAUCAAAUCAAAUAGAAAAACCUCUGUUGAAGGACCCAUCCUCAUUUAUAAAUCUCGCACGUACUAAAUCAACGCUCUUAUUCCUCGUUAACUUUCACAAAACUACGUACUUCUAAUCCAAGGCAUUCUUGUUCAAUGCGGAUAUAUAUGGGCUUUUGACCUUUCCGUGAGCACUAGAAGAACUCAUCCUUAUUUAUACAUCUUGGAUUUAUUAACUGUGUUGAUAAAAGAGGGGAAUCUGCACGUCUAUGGGCACGUGCAUGUGCAUGUUAUCUACUUUGAUAUGCCCAGUCACCGGCUGACGAGAGAAACAGAUGUUAUCUUAGUUGAAUAUUCGUGCAGAAACCAAAUUCCUUUCAUCCGGACCUAGUAGCUGAAUUUGACUAACUUAUCAAAGUUACUGAAAUGAAUACCCUGCUCGGCUUGGAAAUAUUUUGCCAGCGAAAAAGAAGAUGACCGAUGUUAGAGUGUUUUGUUAACUUUAUAGACUUAAACAAUGCCAGAGUGUUUUUUACCAAAAAAAAACAAUGCCAGAGUGUUUUGUUAACUUUAUAGACUUAUGCCAGUCCAAAAAGGACACAUUCCUUUUGCCUAUCGCUGAGCUACGGAUAGAAUGGAUAGUCCGGCAGCAAUUAAUACAAGAAUGGAUCCAAAUGGUAGAGAGGAAAUGACAGCCUUUAUAAUUCCCAGGGGAAUAUUCCGAUACAAAAUUAUACAUUUUAGGUUCAAAGAAAGCGGGCGCAAUGUUCAUGACUUUCCUCCCAGGGGACUUUGCUCCACUAUAUCAUCGAAUGUUAUGUGGAUGAUUUGGCGGUCAAGACUAAAGACGGGGGCGAUCACCUAAAUGAUCUCUAGCAAAAGAUUUUUUCGGAGCUUGUGGAUCAAUGCCGUCUCGACAAUUAAUUAUGUGAGUUCCAUGUUGGAUGAAUUAAUUAUUAGAUCAUACAACAUUUUUUUCCACCGCACCAGCAAAGACAAUUUUUCACGCCGAAACUAUAUUUGGACUUUCGAGACAAUAGAGAAUACGUAAUUAUAUAAUUACAUAUACUUGAAGUUCGUCUGUAUACAUUUCUUGUGACAUCCUGAAAUUCGACCCCGUUUCGAUAAAAUGAAAUGUGCAUUUCGUCGACGUGCCUAUGGUCCUUUUUCUCUGAGCUGAUCACUCACGAGUUAACUAACCUAUUGGGUGAAGCCAUUAAGGGAUAUAUCCAUGGUAAAAUCCCUAAAAGCUACCUAAUUUGUUGGAUUGGACUAAAAUCACGUUCGGUCAAUUUUAAUCAUGAAAUUUAAUUCGAUUUUGGGAAUCGAAUAUUCGGACGUGUCACAAUUCAUUUUUAGGACCGUCUCAUCGUCUAUCAAUUUAUUGCCGAGUCCGAAAUUUCAAGAAAAAAAUUAUCGAAGGAAGAUUUGAAGACCAAAAGAAAAUAGAAAGUGAAAGGGAAAGAGAAAAAGAAAAGAAAUAAGAGAAGUAUUAUUAUUUGAAUUCUUUUUCUCCCUCUCCCUUUUCUCUCUUUUUCUCUUUCUUUCUUUUUCUCUCUAUCUUCUCUCUCCUUCCCCCCUUUCCCCUUCCCCUUAGUGCGACUCCCCCACCGCCCACCUUUUCUCUCUCUUCCCUUUGACUAGUCCAAGCUUAUCUUCUCUCUCUUCUCUCUCCUCUCUCUUCUUUCUUCCUCUGCACGCUCAACCGAACCCCCUUUUCUUCUUUCUUCUUCUCCUUCUUUUCUUCACGCCGAGCGAACCAGAAGCUGCAGCUCGCCCCUCAGCCGCUCGCCGCUCGUCCCGCUCGCCGCACCGCCGCCCGCGCCCGUGCGCCCGCCGCCAUCCGCGCACGCCCAGGCCGCGCGAUCCAGCUCGGCCCAGCCCUGUUUCGCCUCUGUUCCAGCACCGACCAGCUCAUCUCCAGCCACCUCCGGCCACCGGCUAGCCCCGCCGGACCUCCCCGGUGUCCCCCUUGCCCUCCGCCGACCUCCCCUUGCCGCCCUAGCCGCCGGACGAGCUUCGUCCAGCCAAGAACAGUGGCUGGAAAAAUGGGUUUCCAGCACUGUUCAAGGCCGAUUUGGGCCAUUUCCCGGCCCCGAACCCGAGCCGUGCUUUGGGAAGUUUCGUUCCUCGCGUCGCCGCCGUCGGAUUGAUCCGAUUUCCGCGCGAUUUGGUGAGUAAUCUCACUAAUCUUGGAUUAGUUGACUAAUUAUGCGUAAGGUUGGUUUAGAUUUUAUUAAUUAUGUUUAGGUUGUUAGAUUAGAAUAAAUUAGCAAUUAUUAGUCAAUUGUGAUGUGAUUUAGAUAAAUUGAUUGUGCAAUUAGCAAGUAGACGUGGUAUACUAAUUAUUGGAAGUGCCUCAGGAUUUUUCCCGACCCUUAGUGGGCUCCAAUUAGGCUUUUCGGGCCUAAGUGGAUUUUUUUUAGUAUUUAAAUAUUAAUUUUCGUAAUUAAAUUAAAUAAUUAUUUAUUUUCCGAAAAUUCAAGGGAGAUGUUUCGGAACCGGAAUAUUAUGUGGAUGACCGUGGUGAAGUCCGUUUAUGUAAUCGGGCUUUAUUUUGAGCUAAAUUGAAUUUUUUAAUAUUAAUUAUUUAAUUUUCGAAAUUAAUUAUUUAAUUAAUUAUUUUUCAGAAAUUAAGAUUUCGAUGGCCGACGACCGAAAUCUCGUGCUGAUCGUCGUGGCGCAGUCCAUUUAUUUAUUUGAGCUCUACGUUGUAUGGAAGUGAGUAAAUUGUGAUAUUUUAGGGAAUUACCCUAAAUUGAUUGGAAUCGAUUGAGAAUGAAUUAUCGAUUGGUGAAUGGCCAAGUAUGUUUAUUCAUCAUUUAUAAUGCUUUGUUGAGUUAAUUUAAUUAUUUGACUGAGUAUUGAUUGGUGAAUGGCCAAGUAUGUUUAUUCAGCAUUUAUAAUGUUUUGUUGAGUUGAUUUAAUUAUUUGAUUGAGAAAUCGUUCGGCAUUGGUUGUCGAUAUUGAAAGUGAAUUGGUAACCACUGCAAAGAGGACACGUGGCUCGGUGAAUUGGAGUGUCACCUGGGAAAAUGCACUUGAGUUCAGUGGUUGAAUAUGUCACCUUGGCGAAAAGGUCACCUGAGAGAAUGCACGUGGCUCGGAGACUCAGUAUGUCGUCCUGGAGAAUGCACGUGGCUCGGUGACAGGAUUUGGCAUCUAAAAGGACACGUGGCUCGGUGAUCUGAUGCGUCACUUUGGUAAGCGAGUACCUUAGAGAAUGCACGUGGGUCCAGCAUUCCGGAAUGGCAUCUAAAAGGACACGUGGUCUCGGCGAAUUGAUGCAUCGCUUUGGUGAGAUGCACCUAAGAGAAUGCACGUGGGCCCGGGCAUCUAAAAGGGCACGCUGUCUCGGUGACUUGAUGCAUCACUUUGGCAAAAAGGUUGCCUGAGAGAAUGCACGUGGGCCCAAGGUUCGAGGCACGUGAACCCGGAGACUUGGAAGGUCAUCCUGGAAAAUACACGUGGCCUAGCUUUUAAAUAUCCCACAGUGGGGAUUGAUUUGUUUGGCAUGUAAUCGACUAGGUCGAUUUGAUCGAUGCUUCGAUCGGUGUUAUGAUUGCUUGGGUGCCUCUUAUGAAUUGUACUGACUUGCAAGUGGGAUCAGAGGCCAAGGUAAGUCCUCUGCCCUAUGCGUGUUUAGGCAGCCUUUAGUAUAAUAGUUUACUAAUUGGGCUUAGUGGGGUAGAACUCGCUGAGACGUAGUCUCAUCCCAGUUUGGGGAAACCAUUUCAGGACCCCGCUGAAGAGCUGAGAAGGAGGAAUCCGAGAAGGAAGACUCGGAGGCGAAUCUUAAGGAAAAAGAUUUUUGAAGGAAGAAGGCAAUCCUGAUAGGGGCCUUGAGUACGGCCCAGUUCUUCUAAGUUUCUGUCUUCUUUUGAGAUCUCCAUUUUGAUGUGAAUAGUUUCGAAGUGGUUUAUGGUUUGUAUAAAAGUUUGGUUAUAAAUUUUCAAUAUGAAAAUAUGGCCCUGCUUUUCUAUCCCAAUGUUUUAUUGUCUGGGGAUUUUAACUGCUUCCGCAUGUGCUUAAUAAAUGAAAGGGUCGGCGAUACAUUGUCCUGGGAUAUCGCAUUAUAAAAUCGACCAAAUAGAAGGAUGUGCACGUGCCCGAGGAUCGGGGCGUGACAUUUCUUUUCUAUGACUACUCAGGUAUUAUUAUGCUUUUCUUUGGGGAAG
rnacentral:lncRNA from 1 species